rnacentral:lncRNA from 1 species
UUUCUUUUCUUCUUCUCUCUAUACGUUGGUGUUCUAACCAAUAAUCACCGAUGCGAUAUUCUGUCCGAUCGAUUCAGGAACCAACUAACGGAUGCCAAAGUGCUGUACUUUGUGAAUUUCGUUAAACGGAUGCCAAAGUACUAUACUUUGUGAAUUUCGUUAAACGAAUGCCAAAGUGCUGUCUAAACAAGACUAUACUUUGUGAAUUUCGUUAAGGUUCGAAUCUCGUGAUCAUCGUUAGGUUUGAUGUGGUUUUACACAAAUACGUAUUCCACUCUGUUAAACUAUAUGUUUAACCAUCAGCAAACUCCAUUCCAUAAACAUACUACCAAACAAAAUAUUCCAUCAUCAGAAGAUUCAGAACUCUAAAGAAAGUAAAGGCUUAGUUAUCUGAAGGCGUAGAAUCAAAAAGCUUGUUAAAUCAAUAUUGCAUGCUUAUAAUGCGAGUCAUUCUCUUUUUAUCAACAGUGUUUUACAAUACUCCAAAUUAUUUUCAAAAGUUAUAAUUACAAGGAUUAAGUCGUGGUUAUCUUGAAUCACUGGCUAGUGGGGUAUUGUGCACAUUACUAAUUUCUCACGGUUAGGCUAAUAAAUCCUAACGGUGAUAAUCAUCACUACUUGGGUGAAAGGACCCAAUAGUGGUAUGACCAUCGUCACCAGGAGGUGACACGGCGCCAGAUAAAAAUAUGAUAGUAGCCAUUGUAAUCGCUCUUAUGCUGUAAUUCAUAACUAAGGUGUCGUUUUAUAUAAACUGAAUGAACUCACCAGUAUUUCCUGUUGACCAAAUGUUUUUAAAACGCGUUUUAGGUAAUUACAGUAGAUCGGAAUAAGAGUUGGAUACGGCACCAACAGGCUUACAGAAGUGGCUUAAUUUAUCAAUUAAAUUAAAUUAAGAAAGUUUGUUUUAUGUAUUCGGGUUUAUCCCAUAUUAAAGCUACCUUUCAAAACAUGGUUUAUCCCAUCUAUUUAAUAAAAAAAUCCGGUGUUUUCUAAACUCUGAUAUUUUUCCUAACUCACGGUCCAGAUAAAUUUCCGCUGCACUACUUUUCUAAAUAACCACCGGUACCACUGAACUGGUUCGCGGCUCCCGAUUCCGUCCAGGGUGGGGUCGGGGGCUGUGACACUUCGUGUCUCUGAUCCUUGCAAACAGUCACCUGCUCUGAUACCACUUGAUAAUUCGUUCCCUGGACCGAAUCUCUAACCGAUGAAUGCGUACUAACACGUGAAAUGUGCGAAAUCCAAUUACAUACGUGGACAAGAACACGAGGAUGUAAAUAUAAUUGUUUUCUAUUGCUGAAUGUAACAGAACAAUACCAUGAAAACAAACCAGCAGAGCUUCGCCUCAAAGUUGCUCUAAGAUAAUUUCAAACGAACACAAGACACCUAUAUAUAGGCAUUACAGGUUCGAACCAAGCAUGGAGUGGCUUCGUACGAAGCCAUGACCCUUCGUACGAAGGCCCAUCUGAUGAACACAAAGGCUUCGUUCGAACAACCUCUUCGAACCAAGAUCUUCUUCCUUUAAUGUAUUCAUGCUUCUCUUCGUUCAGCACCAGUCUUGUCUCAUUUGUUUAAGCUACGUUAUGUGAUUGACCCAAGCGAUAUACAUAUUCACUCACACCAGUAGUAGAAAAAUGCACUUUCAUUUACAUUACCAUCAACAAUACACUACUUUUUACAUUACCAAUAUUAAGAAUGCACAUGUGCAUCAUUAUGUAUAACCAUGAUAUAACGUGUUUUGGUACAAAAAGUUUGUGAUUUUAAAUAGGGCUGGCAAAUCGUGUCUUAUCGGGUUUAACAGGUCUCUAAUGACGCAAAUAACUUAAGUAUUAAACAUGAUACAACUUGUUUAACUACUUUAUAUCUCAUGUCUAUAACACAGUUGUAUGUUUUAUGUACCAAGGAGUAGAAAUGAUUGAUCGUAGCCUUCUAAUUCUAUUUAUUUUUAAAAGGUAAAAAAACAAGUAGUGUACUUUUUCAGUAAACAUGUUUAAUCGUGUCUUAUACAGAUAUCUAUUGCUAGCCCUAAUUUAAUUGAUGAAGUAGGCCCAUAUACAUGUGUUUUGGGUGUUGAUGUACAUGUAAUAAAGUGAAAUAUUGGUAAUGAUAUUGUGUUAUGGAUGGUAGGAGGCAAUGAUAUUGUAUUACGGAUGGUAGGAUGUAAUGGUAGUGUAUUAUGGAUAGUAUGAUAGAUGAAAGGGAAAGUGUAUUCAAAGUGGUGUAUCAAAACACGUUAUAACAUGUUCAUACAUAUAGAUGCACAGGUGCAUUUAUAGUGUUGUUAAUGUUAUAACAAGUUCAUACAUAUAGAUGCACAUGUGCAUUUCUAAUAUUAUUAAUGUACAAAGUAGUGUAUUAUGAAUGGUAGUGUAAAUGAAAGUGCAAUUGUCU